rnacentral:misc_RNA from 1 species
AAGUCGUAACAAGGUUUCCGUAGGUGAACCUGCGGAAGGAUCAUUAACACGUAUCCAAACGUUAACCCCCCUGUGAACCUUUAGUGUGCUCCCUCAUUCUGUUGGAACGUGGCAAUCUCUGGUAAAUCAUUGUUGACCAGCUUUUGAGUCAGGGACCUCUGCAGAUUGUGAUAUUUUAUAGCUACGGUUGAGCGAUUGCAUCUAGUGACCUGGCAUCCCCAAGUAAUCAGUGUUCUGAAAGUGUCAUUGAUUGUGUAAGGAUGGCGCAGUCACGAUCGCUGUAGGCCCACACGGCCGGCGACCGGGUCACCGGGCUCUGCUCCUUUACGACAACUACAGUCUAACUUCGCCGCGCGUGAAAUUCGCACGGCACCAAAAACCGAACAACUGUUAACAAUGGAUAUCUUGGUUCUC